AGUUUCUCCCAGACCCUCCCUCGGGAGUGGGCAUCAAAUCGCAUCCAAAGUUCCUCGGAAGAGGAAGACGGGCGGAGGUUUUGUAACGGGUCCGACAACAAGCGAGCAGAAAGGGCAACCACGUACGUAAUGGCACAGGCAAGCAGCGCUCCGGGCACGGACGCAGCGCGGCAUGGGGGCAGCCCUGGAGUUAGUGCGGCGAGGACAGAUAGCUUCAAAGAUCAGCAACAUAAGCGUCCCUCUUUUGACCGACCUCCUUUUCAUCCUGAAGACACUCCGAAUGAGAACUCUUUCUUGGCCAAAGGUUGGUUUCUGCUGGGACAGUCUGCACUGUUGAUAUUGCUGUAAUAGAAGGGAAAACAUCAGAUGCAAGAUUUCUGCUAGAGCAAGGGACUGUCCUGUCUACUUAAUAGAGAACUGAAGAAGGAUGCCUGAAUGAAAUAAUGUUUUAGACAGAAGUACCUUGACUUUCUGCAUCUCUUGUGCUGUUUCUGUCUAGCAGUUGUUCAAAGAUGUAUUUGAUAGACUCCUUUAGAUGCUGCAUGCCUCACCUCACCUCAUCCGUGACCCCAAUAUGUUUCAGUUCCAUUUCUACAAAUUAAAUAAGCAAAAUUCUUUUCUAUCCUGAUAGGACUGGGCCAUUUAUUUGCCAUUCCUCAGUCAUAAUGGCAAUUCUGCAGAAAUGGAGUAAGAAAAAAAAGAAAUUGUGAAAUCUGGAUGUUGCAUAACACACUCUAUAUCCAGAUGGUGGAACUAAGUUAUCUGUAAACACUUUCCAGUAUUGAUGGGGGAAGGGACGUGGUGAAGAAAAGUCAGGGCUGUGGGUUGGAAUUUAAACCCCUCCUUACCAUUAACUUAGCAAGGGGAAUCUUCUCCUUGCUUUUCUUUCCUCCUCGUUCCCAGGCCCAUCAUUUAUGAUAUAUCAUAUGAGGUAGGUUAUAAAAUUGCAAGCAUUAAGCUCUAGACAGAAUUAGCUUUUUCACAUGCUAUCUCUUGUGACUGUGGCAUUUGCAGGAUUGUAUCUUGUGCUGCAGAACAGAUGAAAGUAUUUCAGCAUGCAGCAAGAUAAAGCAGGUCAAGAAAUGUCUCCAGAGGAACUGACAGAUCCACAUUUCUGUAUCUGAAAAGUUAAGGAGUAUAGUAAAAAGUCACCAGUCAGGGAGGGUUGUUUGUUUGUUUUUUUUACUUGAUUUUGUGGCUUUUUAACAUUUAUGGAAUAAAUUUUGAAUUCUUAUUUUGAGCCCAGAAAGGUUGCAAAUAUACUUCACAGUUCUGAAUAACAUAUACAUUAAAAUAAAAGAUUUUGUUUUCAAUGUGAGCUAAC
rnacentral:lncRNA from 7 species